CAGCAGAUGCCCAAACAAACACCGACAACAUCCACAUCAACUUUCACACCGACAUCUUGGCCUUUUCUCUUCACCACAUUGAGGGUCGGGUCGGGUCGAGGGGGGGGGGGGUGAAUCAACAUCAGAAACCCAAAGAAGACCACGGCCAAACGGCCUGGGCCCCUUCAUGGCCAGAAGGCCCUUUGACCCCCUCAGUUAAAAAUACCACCACCAUGCACCUCAGCGGUCGCAACUUCACACUCCAAGCUAAAAAUGGCCGCCGUUCCAAAACACCUGGUCUCCACUCGUCAGCGGCGGCGGACGAGGCUGCGGCUCGCCUUACGUCUGCCGCACGCUCCCAGCGGGACUCAUUACCGCUCAGGUGCCCGGCUCCUCACCCUGAGGGGACGGGAGGGGACGUGGGGCCCCUCCCUUUGAGGCUGGCCCCCCUGAAGCUGGCCCCCCUGCAGCUCCCCAAGGAGAAAAAGAAACCCACGGACAAGCAGACCUCUGGCAGUGCCCGAAAGAAGGCCCUGAAGAGCCCAGCCCCGGCCCCGUCGUCGUCGGCCCCCACGGAGCCCUCUGAGGACUCGCGACGGCCCCUGGGGAGCCGUGUUGUCCGAGCGGGCCCCCCGGAGCAGACCGCUGAUCGGCCCCUCCGCGGGGACAUGUUGUGCCGAGGGGCCGCCGUGCACACAAAGCCGUCCCCCCCCUCGUCCUCACUUAGAUCCCCCCCCCGCCCUGGUGGUCCCGGGCCAGAAGCCCCCCGGGGCCGCAGCCCCCCCGGAGACAGGCAGGAGGCGUCUGAGGCGGCCCCCACCCAUGGAGGAGGGCAGGUCACAUGACAUCGCAGCAACGGGUGACCCAAAGUCCCGGCCCCCGGCCGCCCGGCCCCCGGCCGCCCCAGUGGCCCCGGAGGCCCAGCGGGCCGACAGGGCCCUGAGGCAAGCGGGGCACGUGCUGGGGGACGCGGCCAAGAGGGACGCCGAGCGGCGGGACCCCCGGACCCCGGGGGUGGGAGGAGGCCUGGAGGUGUCGGGCCGGGCCGUCAGACGGGCCCCGUUGGCAGACCUGCAGGACCUGGUCCUAGUCCUGUGAGGUCCACCGUGGUGUUCAGGGGGCAGUGACGGAGGCUCAUGGAAGAGAACCUGCCCUGCCACCUCCCUCAGCCUCCUAGAGACUCUCUUCUGUCUCCUCGCUGGGAGGGAUCAGGGAGGGAACACCCUUCCCCAGCUUAUCUCGCAAGGUCAACGGCCAGCAGCCACACCGCCCACUUUAACAAGGCUUUACAACUCACCGUCAGCUGCAGCGGAACCCUGCCAAGUAGAACAAGGCGGCUCACCCUCCACACUUUGUUUUGACGCUUGCAAAUGCAAUCCACGUUGUGUAGUGUUUCAAAUGCUGAUGGCCUCUCCACAGCUUUCUUUGGUGCACAGCUUCUGUCUGAAUUGCUGGUAUUUAUUCUAGAUGAUUGAAUACUGUAAGGUUGGUGAAGAAACAGCCACAUUCUGUUAUUACGUCAGCAAAAGAAAAUUCAUCUCAUUCCGGAGCCCUCAACCCGUUUGUUUGGGUUGAAAUGGGUUCAUUGUGGGAAAUAUGUUGUUUAUAUUAUAUGAUAUGCCAACUGAAUCAACAAGUCAGCUGAUUCUGUUGAGCUCAAACAGUCAUUAUUCAAGCAUAGUCCACUUAGUUCAUAGAUCCAUAAACAAUAAAGAUGUUUUUUUAAUCAGCAUUUCUGUGUUGAUACUUUCCCGACGUGUUGUACACAGGUAAAUACUUUCUUAUGACAAAUGUACUGAUUGUAAGUUGCUUUCGAUAGAAGCUUCUGCUAAAUGUCCUAAACGAAAUGAAAUACACUCUCCCAGGCAAUAGAGGAGUAUUUUGUAUGAUUGAGAUUCAUUUGAACGCCGUAGGUGUAGUCAUCUGGGAGAAAAUAUGUGGGGUUUGCUUUUGGCUUGAAAUUCUUUAGAGAACCAUACCUAUUUUUAUGGACUUUCCAAAAAAAGAACAUAAUCUUAACUCAAUCUCCAGAUUGAAUGGAAGAUGGCUAACCCUCAUAUACUGGAAUGUCUUUUUACCAGGG
ensembl:lncRNA